UAGGGAAUCUUCCACAAUGGGCGAAAGCCUGAUGGAGCAACGCCGCGUGUGUGAUGAAGGGUUUCGGCUCGUAAAACACUGUUGUAAGAGAAGAAUGACAUUGAGAGUAACUGUUCAAUGUGUGACGGUAUCUUGCCAGAAAGGACGGCUAAAUACGUGCCGG
rnacentral:rRNA from 1 species